rnacentral:rRNA from 1 species
ACUCCUACGGGAGGCAGCAGUGGGGAAUAUUGGACAAUGGGCGAAAGCCUGAUCCAGCCAUGCCGCGUGUGUGAAGAAGGUCUUCGGAUUGUAAAGCACUUUAAGUUGGGAGGAAGGGUUGUAGAUUAAUACUCUGCAAUUUUGACGUUACCGACAGAAUAAGCACCGGCUAACUCUGUGCCAGCAGCCGCGGUAAUACAGAGGGUGCAAGCGUUAAUCGGAAUUACUGGGCGUAAAGCGCGCGUAGGUGGUUUUGUUAAGUUGGAUGUGAAAUCCCCGGGGCUCAACCUGGGGAACUGCAUCCAAAACUGGCAAGCUAGAGUAUGGUAGAGGUGGUGGAAGUUUACCUGUGUAGCGGUGAAAUAGCGUAGAUAUAGGAAGGAACGACCAGUGGCGAAGGACGACCACCUGGACGUGAUACUGACACUGAGGUGCGAAAGCGUGGGGA